CUUCCCUGAAGGAUCCAGCACCCACUGAAGUCAAGAGGAAUCAACUUUCAAAGAGUGCUAGACCAACCUCUAAAUGCCAAAAGACGAGUGGUCAUGGCAGCUGGCACAGCAUCAUCAUGAGAAGCCAAAUCAUUUUCUGCAGAUGGAUAAGUAAUUGGAAGCUGGAAAAUAGCCACACUGUAGGAGCCACAAACUUACUUCACAGAUCAUCGAAUCAUUGCCAGCAGUAGCAAAAAUCAUCAGUGCUCAGUGCAUUUCCCACCCAGAGAUGUUCUGGCAGGUAAAUCUUGUCUACACUGGGAAAUUUAUAAGAUUAACACAAG